rnacentral:lncRNA from 1 species
AUACUAAUCUCUCAAUUCUUGCUAUUUUUUUAAUAGAUAAACAAGUAGCUAUGUAACUAUAUUUCAGAUUUAAAGACAACUAGGAGUCACAAAGCUUCCUGUAUUUGAUUCAAUUUCUGUUUUGUCCAGUGCUACUUCUGGAACAAAAAGGAGUGGUGGUUUGUGGUGUUUCACCUCAACUUCAGGCCAUUGUUGGUCAACCAGCAAUGCCCAAUUCGAGUUGUAUCACAUUGUGAAACAGCUGUGGAUGUACGGUAACAAGCAAGGUCCCUAGGUUGCAUAAAGCUGAACUCCUACGAUAAGCAGACAUAAAACAUAUCAAGAGGACAUUAAUGCGGCAAAUCAGUUCCUUUUAAUAUUAAUUACUCUAGAAUGCCCAACAGCCCAAGUAUAUGUAAAUGGUACAACAAUUGAAUCAAAUUACAGGAUGGUACCUUGACAAGGCAUUAAUUGAAUUGAUGAAAUAAAAUAGAACAACUCACCACAGCAUCAUAUCAGUCGACAACUUAAAAACAAUUUGAAUUCGGCUCUUCUUCUUCAUCAAGCAAGGUCGGACAUGAAACUCUAUCAAUGUUUGAAGUCAAACCUAAGAAGAAAAGUAUGUGUCUAAAGUACUAAGAACUGAAAAAUUAUUGAAUGACAAGUCAUUGAAAAGUUAGUUACCUU